CCUUCGAUAGCUCAGCGGUAGAGCGUGGAACAGCUAUUGAGCAAUACGAUUGGCAGUGUUGUUUCAAGGUCGUCGGUUCGACUCCGGCUUAGAGGA
rfam:Peniophora sp. CONT PENSPscaffold_67_Cont115, whole genome shotgun sequence.